rnacentral:lncRNA from 1 species
GUUGGUCAGAUGUACUUAAAGGGUUAUGAACUUAUCAUGGAUCCAUUUUUAUUAUGCAGGGUAGUGACGUUGAGAAAAUAUUAUAUGGACUCAGCUAUAUAGGAGCAACUAAUGCAUCAUUGUUGGGGGUGAGAUGGACAAACUUGCAAUUGAAGAACCAGGUUUAAAAACCGUGGUGUUCCUCAAAAAGUUUCUUACAAGGAUUUACCAUCUCAA